ensembl:lncRNA
CGGGUCUACAGACCUGAUGGAGGGUGGUUGUUAUUACAGGUGAACUACAGGCAUUACAGGUGAGUUAGGGACUGUACACUGUACUGUAGGGACUCCACCUGUAGGGACUCCACCCGUCUGGACUCCAUUAAUAAAGAUUAUUGAAUAUGUACAACAGAAACAGAAGCGAUGAUGUCAGAGCAUCACGACUCGAAGAUGUUCUCUUCUGUUUACUGAUCGAUGGAUUGAGAUCAAUAACAGUUUGUCUCCUGCUGUCCGUCUGUUUUCUUUCUCUUAUUUUCCACUGAGGUCCAGAUGUUUAUGCUUUAGCAGUUAUUGUUUUUCAGAUUCUGUUUCAGUCUAAUCUGUGGCUGCCUGCUAACUUAGCUGCUAGCUGUUAGCAUAGCAUUAGCCACUGUGAAAAAGCUAAUGUCCUGAUUUGUGGAGAUGUUCGUGGCUCUCGCUCAGGUUGUUUUUCUGUCACUUAGAUUUAAAGUUAGUGUGAUUUUAGAACGAUGUUACGCUGCUCCAGAUAGUUAUCCACAUGCUAAGAGGCACAGCUAACCUCUCGGUGUUAGCAUUAGCGUAGCACGGUUAGCAGAAUCACUUCCAGCUGCUAAUUCACCGAGCUGCUGCAGUCUGAUAAUGUGCUCGUCUGUCUCGCUGUGUAAACAACAGCUGUCAGUAAAUGGCUGUUACUGCAACCAGUCAGCGAGCUGUGGUUGGGCCUUCACUGAGACCACAGUGACAUCAGACGGAGGAGAAUGACCAGAGCCGAAGCAGAUCAUUACGUUUAUUAAGAGAUAACCAUCAGAUAAAAUAAAAUAUUGGCAUCGAUAAUCGAUCACUGAGCUAAAGAAAAGUUUGAGUUCUGUUUCGAGGAACAAUCACAGCAUCGUUCACAAGUUUCUGAAUCAUUGUCAUCAACCGAUCAUCAAAGUGAAGCGACCUGUAACUGUCUUCAUAGAGUCCUCAGACUCUACCGACACAAACCGGAAGAUCGAAUCAGACCGAUGCAGUUUGAUUAACGUCUGAAAAUUAAAAGCUCUGAUAAAUGCUGUUCUGUCCCAGACAUGUUCAUCUGGACACGUUAGAAUUGAAAGAACCUCCAACUGUUCCUCUAAAAACCAUAAAACAUGAUUUAAAACCGAUGACAGUUUAAUGUUUGUAGUUUAAAGGUGCUGUUCGAACAAGCAGCUCUGAGUGUCUGUAUCAACCUCCAGGAGGACAUUUACGAGUCGGUUCUGGUCCUUCAGGUCGGUUCUGGUCCUCCAGGUCGUUUCUGCUCCAUCAGGUCGGUUCUACUCCGUCAGGUCGGUUCUCGGCGGUUCUGGGCCUGCAGUCGUUGCCGCCUCCUCUCCAUCGCCUGCUGCUUCUUCAGCUCGAUCUCAGCCGCCGAACAUUUAGC